UUGAUUUCCUAGGCGAUGUAGAUUGUGUUUAUUUGGGGAUCAGCGAUCUGGGCUGAUAUAAACUCCUAAAACCCUUUUGCAUACUUUCACAUUUUAGCAGGGCGAUCCGAUGGGAGUGCAGUCCUUGCCAUGUCCCAGACUAUUAGCUCAGCUGUGCCUCUGCCUCAUUUUCUGUUUUACUUGUUAUAGUCACGAUAGAAUUCUCUGAAAGGCUCGUGGAGUUUUGAGAGUGGACUCCAGCGUGUUGCUGAAUUUUGCAGUUUGCUGCGAGCUGCGCACACAUUUCAUCUGGCUCUUUGCAUACCACCUACUCUUUCACUUUGAACAAACAAAACCAGAAUGGGUUAAGAAGCAAGUUAAGGACAUAUUGCUCUUUCAGAGGAUCUGAGUUCAGUUCCCAGCACCCACAUAGUUGCUCACAAUCAUCUGUAACUCCAGUUCCAGGAAAUCUGAUGUCAUCUUCUGGGUUCUGUGAGCACCAGGUAUGCACACAGUGUAAGUUUAUACAUACAUACAAGCACUUGUACACAUAAAAAUCGAGAUAAAGUAAAUAAACCUUUAAAAAAAGAUGUAGCCUUGACCUUCAAGGAGCAUGUGUAGAAGGGAAAGUAAUGAAAACUGUUGAGCAUUUUGAACUGCCAUUCAUUAGUUCUAUGGCCCAAUUAACCACCAUAAGCCUGUGAAGUGGAUGUUUCUGCUGUUCCUGUUCAGUGAGAAGGAGGGGGGCAGAAGCCUGUCUCAGGCCAUGCUGCUAUCUAUGCACAACCAGGAGGUGAGUAUGAGGUCUGCUGUCUCCUGUGUACACUGUGGUGUGCUUCACAUGUUCUUUGUUGUCCCCAAACAGCUACAGGAUUAUGAAGAAAACACCUUAAUAUCUCUAAACCUCAGAUUACUGAUCAAUGCUAUAUACAUAAUAGUCUUGGCUUCGAAAGGGUCUGCAUGAAGCAUGGAAGAGUCCCUUGCACAUGCUAGCUUGGACAGAGUGUCGUUAAAGCCUGUAGACUGUAUAUGGGUCUAGGUAUUGGGUGAUGCUUCUUCCUGAACCUGCAAGAUUGUAGGAUUCCUUUGGAGGGUAUGUGGUAGUUUGAAUGUAAUUGGUCUUCAUAAUCUAAUAGGGAGUGGCAUUAUUAGGAGGUGUGGCUUUGUUGGAGUGGGUAUGGCCUUGUUGGAGGAAGUGUGCCACUGUGGGGGUGGGCUUUGAGGGUUUCUAUUGUCAGGAUCCCGCCCAGUGUGAGUUGACUUUGUGUUGCCUGUAGGAUGUAGGCCUCUCAGAUACUUCAACAGCACAUCAGCCUGCAUGCCACCAUGCUCCCUGUCACGAUGAUAAUGGGCUGAACCUCUGAAACUGAGGUUUCUGGUGAGACAAAUGCCCCAUGCAUUGUCCUUUGGGCCACUUCAGCCUUGAUCAAGUACUUAAUUAUAUAAAAGAAGAUGGAGAAUUUAAGAGAAAGCUCCCCCUAUCCCUGACUGGAGGGCUUUGAUGAAGACAUCCUACUUAGGACCAAGUGCUUCAAAACCUCUCAGCUUUUGCACAUCGUCCAGGAUUCCACAGUGAAAAUGAAGGAUUAUUUUACCACUAAACACAACAUGAACUCCAUCCUUGCUUUGAUUUUGGAAGCUGACUGUAAUCUGAAGCAAUUAUCCUGACCUCCAGCUGAGCCUGAGUUCUCCUGUUCUUAGCCUCCAGGACCAGAAGCCUCUCACGGCAGGAUGGUGGUAUCAUCAUCCCUGGGCAGAUGGUCCUGGCUGUAUAAAAAGUUAGCUAAGCAAGCAGCCUUCCUUUGUGAUUCGUGACCUGACUUAGCUCAGCGAUGGACUGCGCCCUGGAAGUGUCCAUGAAGAGUAUGAAUGCUUCCAAGAUAUUCAUCUGCUUUGUUAAAUUUUCCAGCUUUGUUAACCAAGUUGGGCUGUUUUGGAGUGGUGCUCAUAUACCCGUGAUGAAUGCCAGCAUACAAUAUGCCGACACAUGUUAACCCAAGAGUCAAGACACCAGUGUCAGAUGCAUCUUAGAUGUCACACCCAAGUUCAGAGUCAAAGUGAUCUGCAGGAAGACUUUCCCUGAAUGUCUCUUUUGGCUCUCAUUUGAAAUUACUUAUUCCUAGCCCAGGAUAGCAACAUUGUCCAUGUAGUGGGGAUAAGAGCCUUGGUAAAUUUCCAAACUCAAGGCUAUAACCAUCAGUGCUAAAUUGCCAUGCCCUGAGAUAUAGCCAUUGUGGUGGGCAAGCUUUUGCCUGCCUGCUAUUUCUGUGGAUACCAUGCCUCCCCAGUUUUUCAUGGGCUGACCAUAACAUCUGGAUCCAAGGUCACCCAAGCCUUGACCAUUAAGUGACCCAUGCACCCUAUCUGUAGUGACCCCUGAGGAGAGGACAGGUGGUUCAGCCAGCUUGUCCAUAUCUGCCCUGAGCUGGAACUGUUCAGAAAUAAGGCACAGUCCUUCUGUGGGUUCAUUUGCUGUGAAGAAAGCAUGAGUCUAAAGUCUCCAGGGACUGGCAUCACUCUCAGAAGAGGAGUCUAAGAAAGAAGUCAGCAUGGUGAAAGCAGAGUCAAGACACAGAGAAAAAGAGGAGACCCUCCAGAUUGUCUUUAACCAGGGGCACCCUCAACUUUCCAAGAUGGAGUUCUUGUAAAUCCUCCUAGUGGACAAGCUAGUUCAAGUCAUUCUACACCUGCAAUUGAUGGCAUCUUACUGAUGCCAUCAUUCAACUUGUCUGGCUUUUGAAAGCUACCAAAUUCAUAGCUACAAAGUUCAAAGUUCAUCACAAGUGAAGGCCUGUCUCUCCCAAAGCUGUCUCUGCACCCUUUUUCCUCUGACAGAAGGAGGAAGAGGCACAUUAGGGGUCAGGGCCAUGAUGGCCAUCCUGACUUGUGACUGCUAUGUAUUGGACUCCACUCUGCUGGCCAGGCCCCACCCUGGGUGUUCAGUGACUCCCACGCCUGUGCCUGGUGUGGGUGAAGCUCUCCAAGACAUUAAUAAGCUAGUUAUCUCCUUCACAUGCAUGACAAAGCUACACUCAACUUGCACCAAGAGUGACAACUACAAAGAGGAUGAAAGGAGACAAGCGUUAAGUUUCAAGGCUGGUACCUUUCCAGUCUUUGCUUCAGUGUUUUUAGUGGUGUACCCCACAUCUGCUCAGCUAAUCUUUCCUAUUUCUUUGUAAGAUGUACCCCUGACCCUUAUCUCUGCUGCUCCUUCUUGACAUGUACUUUAGAAGAGUAAGAUUUCUGAAGGAAGGAAGAAGAAAAAAUGGCAAAAUGGCCUUUAAUUAUUCUUCCAAAUAUAGAAAUGAGCUUCUGGAAUAGUCCUUAAAGAGCUCUCAUCACUGGGUAGACAUAAGCCACUGGCCCUCAGGGGAUGAGUGUCUUUCAGAUAUUCUACCCACUCAAGCCAGAGGGACUUGUUACAAGAUGCCCUGGCUUUCUUCCCAGCAUACUUUCCACCCUUUACAAUGCCAUGCUUUAUACAUAGAGAUGUAUCAUGUACUAACCCACCCCCAUCAUUAUUUAAUUAAUGGCUUUUAUGAUGUUUAAUUUUAAAAUGGAUUUUGUGAUGAUUUGAAUGAGAAGUCCCAUGUAAUCAGACAUUUGAAUAUUUGGCCCUCAAUUGGUGGCACUUUUGGGUAAGUUUAGGAGGUGUGGCCUUGGUGGAGAAAGUGUGUCACUGAGAGUGGGCUUUGAGGUUUCAAAAGCCUGGCACCAUUCCCAUUUUCUCCCUGCUUCCUGCUUGUGGUUCAAGAUGUAAGUUCUGGCUUCCAACUCCAGCUGCCAUGCCUGCAUUCUACUAUCAUGAUAGACACAUCCCUCUGGACCUGUAAGCCCUGAUAAAAGUCACCUUCUAUAAGUCGCCUUAGUAAUGUGUUUUAUUAUAGUAACACAAGCUAUAAUAUAGAAAAAAAAAACAAGAUAAAGAAACCCCUUGGAAGUAAAGAGGCUGGGGUAAUCUGGAACAUGUCUAUAUUUCUACGUGUAUCUUAGUCUUCAAGGCAUGUGAAAGUCUGUGAGUCUCUUUAUGUGUGUCAAAACAGUGGAGGCAUGCAGAAGUACAAAAUACAGUGCAGUCUCACUUUACUUAACAAGAGUAUUACCAAGAAGUUGUUGAAAUGUCAAAACAAAUCCUGUGUUGUGCUGGAUAUAUAAACAGGUUCUGCAAACUUCA